rnacentral:tRNA from 1 species
GCCAGCGUGGCUCAAUGGUAGAGCAGCUGAUUUGUAAUCAGCUGGUUGCGGGUUCGAUUCCUGUCGCUGGCUCCA